rnacentral:rRNA from 1 species
UAACGUUACCAAACUGUUGCCUCGGCGGGAACUCAUGCCCCGGGUGCGUCGCAGCCCCGGACCAAGGCGCCCGCUGGAGGACCAACCAAAACUCUUUUUGUAUACCCCCUCGCGGGUUUUUUAUAAUCUGAGCCUUCUCGGCGCCUCUCGUAGGCGUUUCGAAAAUGAAUCAAAACUUUCAACAACGGAUCUCUUGGUUCUGGCAUCGAUGAAGAACGCAGCGAAAUGCGAUAAGUAAUGUGAAUUGCAGAAUUCAGUGAAUCAUCGAAUCUUUGAACGCACAUUGCGCCCGCCAGUAUUCUGGCGGGCAUGCCUGUCCGAGCGUCAUUUCAACCCUCGAACCCCUCCGGGGGGUCGGCGUUGGGGAUCGGCCUUCCUUCACGGGGGCCGUCUCCGAAAUACAGUGGCGGUCUCGCCGCAGCCUCUCCUGCGCAGUAGUUUGCACACUCGCAUCGGGAGCGCGGCGCGUCCACAGCCGUUAAACACCCAACUUCUGAAAUGUUGACCUCGGAUCAGGUAGGAAUACCCGCUGAACUU